UACGUAGGGGGCAAGCGUUGUCCGGAAUCAUUGGGCGUAAAGAGCGUGUAGGCGGCUCGAUAAGUCUGCUGUGAAAGUCCAGGGCUCAACCCUGGAAGGCCGGUGGAAACUGUCGGGCUAGAGUCCGGAAGAGGCGAGUGGAAUUCCCGGUGUAGCGGUGAAAUGCGCAGAUAUCGGGAGGAACACCAAUGGCGAAGGCAGCUCGCUGGGACGGUACUGACGCUCAUGCACGAAAGCGUGGGGAGCAAACAGG
rnacentral:rRNA from 1 species